UACGUAGGGUGCAGGCGUUAAUCGGAAUUACUGGGCGUAAAGCGCGCGCAGGCGGUUUGCUAAGACAGGUGUGAAAUCCCCGGGCUUAACCUGGGAACUGCGGUUGUAACUGGCAAGCUAGAGUGUGGCAGAGGGGGGUGGAAUUCCAGGUGUAGCAGUGAAAUGCGUAGAGAUCUGGAGGAACACCGAUGGCGAAGGCAGCCCCCUGGGCUAACACUGACGCUCAUGCACGAAAGCGUGGGGAGCAAACAGG
rnacentral:rRNA from 1 species